rnacentral:lncRNA from 1 species
AAAGAGCACAUAGAAGGAUUUGAUACAAGGUACUUCCAUGUACCCGAAUUCCAGAGGAGAACGUACUCCUUACAUAUGUGAGUAGAAGGGAAAUGGUGAGGGGAGGUUGGCGCCUACCCUGGUGGCUCCGUCAUCUUUUGUGUGCUCGGGACUUCAUGAUAGGAUCCUUCCUAAUUUUCUGGGAUUUUUUCUGUCUGCAGCUGUUAACUGCAUUUAAGCCCCAAGAAAUGUAAAAAUUAGUAAAACACAAUGAAAGCAUGGACGCAAAGUUCAAAAGGAAUACACGUUUUAGACAUAUCAGUCUCCUAUUCACCCCUCCCCUCCCCUCUUAUGUUGAUGCAGUCCAUCCUUAACAAACACAUCCUUAGUUGAGAAGCAAAUCAGGCACGGAAGACGAUCGAAAGGACGUGCAUGCUUCGGCUCCACAGUUCCCAAGGGAGGUGAACUUUUAUGGAAGUAAUUUAUUUGGGUGUAAUUAAAUCACCAAGCUAGCUUGACUGAGGAUCUCCGAAGAACAUAUGCCGGGACAACCUAGCCAGAAGAUCUAGAGACGUUCGAGAUCACCUUAAAAUAUUUAGACGUGUUCAUACCUCUUGAUGCUUCUGGUAGUGGGCUGCACCACGAAAAUCAUGUUUAUCACACCACUUAUCUCUUACUCGGUCCAUCUCUGGAUCACUUUGUCUUGUGUGCCAUACCUAAUUUCCUCAGUCGGUGUCCUCUCUCUCUCUCUCUCCAAACACUUGAAAGUAUGGAGUCAGAUAUCUAACGUCUGACGCCUUUGUACGCUUCUAGCAGUGGACUCCACCACUGGAAUCACAAUACCACACCGCUUAUCUCUUCCUCGGUCCAUCUUGACCAAUUUUUCUUUUUGUAUUUUGUCCCUUUCCUCGGUCUUUCUCUCUCUCUCUCUAUGUGUCCCCUCUCUCUCACCCCCUUCCCCUAGGCGGACACCGUUCUAGAUAGAGCACUACAAGACAGCCUUGCUGGCAUCGAGGCUCAUGGACACGCAGCCCAACCUUGCCACUAGAGAGGGACCAUGGAAACGGCAUAGUUGCAUCUUCCCUAGAGAGCAAAUGUUUCCGCGGCUAACUUGGUCCUCUUCGAACCCCUCUGCAAGCUCCAUCCCCAUGGUUGCCAACCUUGCCGAGGCUCGCUUCAAGAGGGUCAGCUUUGCUCCCAGUGUUGGAUCCCAUUAGUCCAUCCUAGCUUGGAUCAUGACACAGUGGUUGUGCUUGCAGGUGGUGACCGAUAACUUCAAGAGGGGUCCCAACCUCUAGCCAUCCAGAAUUGGAAGAAAAGUGAGGCAGAGGUAGGAAUUUGAGGAGGUUAUUGUAUUUUCUUGCAGUUUCUAUGUAGUGGCAUGCCAUUUUUGUUUGUACAUGAUACACCCCCAAGUCUCCAAGUUAAACAUGGAACACAGACGGUUUCAUGUUUUUUUUAUCAAAGAGAGGAAAAUCCCUCCAAUUUUAUUAACGAAACCACAUGCUACAUAGGUUAGGUUCUUUUAAUACAAAAGGAGCAGCCAAAGGAGAUACAGGUGAGUAUCCAGGAGGGAACCUAUACACCCAAAUCCACCCUACUAUAUCCAAACACUACUUCGGUAGAAACAAAUAGAAAGCAAACAGCCACACCAGGCUUGAUACUUCGCCGCAUAAAGAAAAGAUUCCACGCUUUACAAAAGCUGCUCCCAUGUCACGCCUCUCAUCCAAUCAGCUGCCGGGUAAAAGACGCUCAUCCAUGAUAUCAGUUUUUCAUGAUUGAUGUCGUGAUAAAUUUGGAUGUCUCACGUCGUAUUUUUCUCCGUUAGCAUGCUAGUCACUAGAGAUGCAAAAUGUUGACCCUCAGAGUACCGUCUAACCCUCUUUAGUUCAAACAAAUAAAUUAAAAUUUUAAAAUCACAUCACUUUUUGAAAAACUAUUUCAUUUGUUUGAUUUAAAGAGGGUUGAAGGGUACCCUCAGGGUCAACUUUUUGCACCUCUACUAGUCACCACCUCCUCUCUCCACCAUCCUCACUCACAAGCCCAUUAUUGCUUCAGCCAGGCGGCCAGCCACCCGAGGAGGGAGGAGUGGAGGACAACCUAUUGCUUCCCUACCGGCUUGAUGCAUGUAAUGACUUAGAGUGCUUAAUAUAAUGUGGAGUUGUUUGAGAAAAAUAUAUUUUAACCUUCGUGUGUGGAAGUGUGUUCUUGAAUAGGCCAUGUUGCCAAGGCAGUGGUAAUGUUUUGUCUCUCAUUUUCAUAUGUUCCAUUCGUAUAAGUUUUUUUUCUAACUCUGUGAACCCAUGGUUUGGAUCUCUUCCUCCUCCAGACCUCCAUGAGUGAGGCAUAUGUUAACAUUAGAGAUUUCUUUUACGUCGUGAUAAGAGCGAAUUAAAAAAAUUGUAGUCAGGAGAAGUUAUUUUCAUAUCCUCUAAAAAGGAGUCUAAGAAAAGAAGUGAUCUUAGUUGUUUUUUUCGUCAAUGUUUUGGACACGGCAGAAAUUUUUAGAUGCCAUUUGCUUCUUCGUUUGCACAUUAUUUGGUACACAAAACUUAAAAGCGAGACAAACAUGCAUAUAAGUAAGUUUCGUGAUGUUUCUUUGCCGACACAAAUUAUGUGGACCUUGGUCUCUAUGCAUGCAGUAUAUGCCUAUCAACAUUUAUUCAAAUUUAUGUUUGCAGGUGGACUUGGUAGGUCACCGUUCUCAUCAUCACGUGCUUACAAUGGUUCCUGAGGAGACCAAAUCAAAGAAGCAAAAAAAUGAGGAUUGCAUCAUAAACUGUCUCCCAAGAGAUCUCAUGGAGCGGCUAUUUUUGAAGCUUCCGGUGAGCACUUUGGUAACAUGCUUUAUUGUGUGCAAGCACUGGUACCACUUCAUCCGAGAUCCCCAGUUUGUCACAUCACACCUCCAGCAUGCACCCCGUUAUGCCCUUCUAUUCUUCCCACAAGAGUUGGCUUCAGGCAAGCUCUACCCUAGUGAUGCUAUCCUGAUUGACGAAGCCUGGUCACCAUCGACAUAUGCAGUGCCGGUUAUUGGGCCUGAUGAUUUCCUUUUUGGUUCAUGUAAUGGGCUUCUUGGAUUAUACACAAAGACAUCGACUAUCAAAAUAGCCAACCUUGCAACUGGUGAAUGCCUACAUCUGGAGAAACCUGUAAAGAAUAUGAGAGGUGAUCACUUCUCUUUCUACAACUUUGGAUUUCACCCAGUGACAGAAGAAUACAAGAUUACACACUUCCUUGGUGAUUGCACGGACACGGAGGCUCACCCCCGUAAUAAGCACAGAUUCAGCGUCAUUCAAGUUUACACACUUGGUGAUGAGAAAUGGAGAGAUGUCCCAACUCCAGAAAUCCUAAGCUUGGACAUAGUGAGAAACUCUGGAGUAGUCAAUGUUGAUGGCAAAAUGUUUUGGCUUACUGAACACAUGACAGCUAGCUGGCAGCAUGCAGUUAUCUCCUUUGAUCUCAAGGAAGAAUGUUUCUCAAUGAUACAACUGCCAGAAGAACGUGAGGAUUAUGCAUAUAUUCAAUAUGGUCCUCGCGAGUUCUGGAUCAGAGAUAUAGACGACAAAAUAUGUAUAGUAACUGCUCAAUGUGCUAGUUUUGAUGGCAGAUUUCUUGUUGGCGAGCUGCAGAUUUGGACUCUAGACAACAUAUUGGAGCAAAGGUGGAGCAAGAAGUACAGUAUUCAGAACCCACCAAAUUACAUACCGGGUCCACAUUUUGUUCACAAGGAUAGGUUGAUGGCACAACUUACCGACUGUAGUGUAUGGUCGUACGAGUUACUUUGUGAGAACUUUGAGAUUAACAAGAGUAAGAUGACAAAGCUGUUAGAUUUCAACCCCCAUAAGCUGCGCCACAUGCAAUCCUACAUCUAUAUGAAGUCACUUGUAAAUUUAGAUGCAUACAAGAAGGCUGGCAUUGUGCGUACGCCAAAACAGCGGGCAGGCUGGGAAUCGAAGAAGUGGGAGGCAUGGGAGGAUGAGCUUCGCAAAGUUGAGGUUAUGGGGAGCCGCGUCCACAAAUUUGAGCAUGACUUACUUGUAUGUUCGCCAAACUGUUAAUUAGCCUUGAUGCAUAUUAAUUAUUUUUGAAGAUUUGACAUAACUGUGGACUUGCCAUUUUGUAGGGAAUGCAGGAAAAAAUUGGUAAAUUAUAUGAGCUUUUGCAGCAGAAGAGACACGACGCAGCACAACGUUUACGUGUGGAAAUCAAACAGGUGUUGCAGCAUAAGAGAGACAAUCCAAAUCAAGUAAUAUAUUGUCUGCUGAAAGUGGUUGCUUCCACACUUUUCGCAUUUUUUAGUUCAAAACAUAUUUUAAGUGCGCUGGUAACAAAUGUCUUGGAAGUGUCCUACAGCCAAGGUCCCUCCGGCGGUUUAAUUUCCUGGAGCAAAAACGGGAGAAGGAGAACUUAAUGGCUCGUUCAAGUAGGAUGAUGGAGAUGAUGAAGGUACAGUGCGCUACAUCUAUAACUAGCUAGCAAGCGUAGCUUAAUUUACUAGUGUUGUUGAAAUGUGUCAAAUUUGACAAAGUUGACCUUCCUAUAGGCCAUGAAGCAGCUGCAUGAUAAGAUCCAUAGUUUAUUAAGAAGUCCUUUGUCGGAUCAGGUAAACUUUUGCAUGGGUUCGAAGUUAUUCAUGUUUGCUGAAGCAAGCUGCUAGUUCUUGUUACUUGCUUCUUCUGAUGUGGCCUACUGGUCUCAUUUGCCGUAAUAACUAAGCCAGUUAACUUAUCUAGAGAAAUAAUUAAGCAGCUUAGCUGUGUUCUCUGUAUUAAUAUAAAUGAAUGACUUCCCCACUAAAAUGUGAUUGUUUUCCAUGUCAAACAUGAUCUUGUAUAUUUGCUUGUACUCUAUGUUACUUUUUGCUAAUUGUGAAGCUUUAUUUAUUGGAAUACUUUGUUACCUUUUGCUAAUUACUUACUGACCAUGUAAAACAUUAUUGAACUCAUCCAUGCUCUUAAUCUAGCAGCCCACAUAUUCCGAUGGAAAUUUAAUUUAUUCAUUAAGGUUUGAGCACAUGAAGUAAAAAACAUUUAUGUUUGUCCUUUUUAUUCUAACAACGAGCAUAACCAGUCUCCUAACAUAUUAGUUACUUUGUCUCAUAUUGCAACCCAAAAUGCAAGGCCUUGUAUGCAUUUCCAGUUCGUGCUUGCUGAAAUAAUUCAUACAUGCCAAGCAUAGGUUGUGCUAAUUGAGAAUUGAAUUAUUACUUUGCUGGUCUAUGUGGAAACUUUGUAAAAGGGCUUGCUUUGAGAAGAAGUUGAUUAAAUCUACUUCUGCGAUAAUCUGUUAUGCAGCGUUCGUUUAUGAACUACCAGGAAGGGCUGCAGUCAGGGAGCGAUGGGGAGGCGCUAAGGGCAGGUGUUGCGCGGCUAAGGCAAGAGGCACCGAUUCAUAAUGAAUCUCGUGGAGUGACGGACACCAUAAGGAUUGAAGCAGCUUCGAGAGAGGAUCAAGCUGAUGAUGAGGACGACAUCAAUAUCUGAUGAUCUGCUCUGACGGGAGUGGAUUCUGAGCGAUUUGAAAAACUUUGCUUUUAAUUUGCAUCAUGGAGUGAUCCUGAGAAUCAUCUGUAAUACUAGCAAACUUCUCUAAACUUACCUUAAACUGCGCGAGUUCUUGCAGCCUUGGGAUGUAAGUACGUUUGGACCUAUAGUGUGUUAACGUAGUGUGAACCUUGUUGAAUCUUGGUUUGUUCCUUUACCUUUGACAGCGGAACCCGGCCAAGUCUUACUCGAAUGGAAAAUAAAAGUAGUUCUAAUAAGAGGGAUGAUAUAUUGGUCUAUUAGACUAAGUAAUAAGCAUGCAGAUCUAAAACAAAGAAUAUUGUAAGUACUUCCUCCGUUUCUAAAUUCUUGUCGUUGUUUUAGUACAAAUUCUUGUCGCAGUUUUAGUAUAAAUUUGAACUAAAACAACGACAAGAAUUUAGGAAUGGAGAGAGUAGCAUAGAAGAACGUUGCCACCAUCCGUUACAAACUUUCCAGUUUCUUUUGUUUCAUUUCAUCUCGAAACUUAAUAACAUUGUGCCUCUUAUGUCCUGUUACUAGUAGAAAACAAAAACAACGAGGGUACCGCAUAUGCCUAUGUUUCAAUCGGGAUUCCAGAUGUUUGUAGACGCAAAGGAUGGAAGUUACAGGCACUUGUUCUACUCUAUUUGAUAUUCUGACCCAUAUUCACUCUUGGCAGGGUAAUUCACUUUGCUGACUUCAUGGGAGACCGUUAUGAUUUUCUCGAAGAUGCGAGGCCGUUCUGAUGAGAUGUGAAAAGACUUGAUCGGACAUGAGCGCGCUGUGCCGCUUAUCUCGCCACCGCACGACGUUCGCAUAUGGCCGGCGCGGACUGCGAACGCACAUAGGCCGAGAGAAAUGCGGUGGGGAAGGAGACAAAAGAGAAGGAGUUUUUUGUUUGAUUUGGGCGUGAAUGAAUCUCAACAGAGACCGUGUGGACGGAAGGGAGGUUUUUCUGUCAAGCUUGGCUUUCUUGGGCUCUUAUUCUUGCCUAUUUCGCACCGAGGGAUUUUGUAACUUGUACAAGGAGGUUGUUGGCUCCAUUAGUUGCUUGUCGUUACAUUGCACUUUCAGGUUUUAAUUUUUACAAAUGUCGAUUGCCCAACGCUUCUCUUGCCUAAGAGAGAUUCAGCAUGAACGAUUGCCUUGCUUGAAACAGAAACAAUGUUGUAAUUUCCGGAACAUAUUUUAAGCAGCUGGCCAACCUCGUGUGCUAAGUUGUUUUAAUUCUCACCAUAUCUGACACUUGCUAUUGCGAAGAUCUGUCAAAAUUAUGCAGAGAGAAAAUUCAACCUUCCGGAAUUUAUUCCCGAAUGCUAUUGUGCAUCGAAGUCCUUUGCACUUGCAGUAGCCGACGAACUCAUUUGCAAUAUAGAGCUGACGACAACGUAGGCUAGGCGCACAGGACUGCGCGGGCCGAGAGACGAGGCAGCAGCUUUCACAAGAAGAACCCGCAAGCCCCGGACGAAAACUUAUUUCCGUAGCAAGGAAAAAAUGGCAGCACCCAACUGGGCUAGAUGGGCUGUGCUGGGCCUCCGUGGAUGACAUGACAGUCAGACAGUGACCCGUUCCUCCUCUCGCUGCGCCAGCACCCAUUUCCUUUCUUCUUCUGGUUCUCGGGCACCGAGGAAAAGCAGACCACGGUGGGGACUGGGGAGAACUGGUCAAAAGAAAAAAGACCUCGCAGGGGUGAGGAGAGCUCUCUGACCUCGCAUGGCGGCGGCGGUGGCGGACCUCGUCUGAUCGUGCUCGUGAGUCCCAUCCGACGCCCCUUUUUCCCGGGGGAAUCUGUCUC